AGAGUUUGAUCCUGGCUCAGGACGAACGCUGGCGGCGUGCUUAACACAUGCAAGUCGAACGGAGCUAUUUAUUUCGGUAGAUAGCUUAGUGGCAAACGGGUGAGUAACGCGUAGGCAACCUGCCCUCAGGAUGGGGACAACGGCUCGAAAGAGCCGCUAAUACCGAAUGACGUAACUCUUCCACAUGGAAGAGAUACUAAAGAUGGGUCAAACCAUCGCCUAAGGAUGGGCCUGCGUCUGAUUAGCCAGUUGGUGAGGUAACGGCUCACCAAAGCGACGAUCAGUAGCCGGUCUGAGAGGAUGAACGGCCACAAUGGGACUGAGACACGGCCCAUACUCCUACGGGAGGCAGCAGUGGGGAAUCUUCCGCAAUGGGCGAAAGCCUGACGGAGCAACGCCGCGUGAGUGAAGAAGGUCUUCGGAUCGUAAAGCUCUGUUGUCGGGGACGAAAGAGUAGACGAGGAAAUGCGUCUACUAAGACGGUACCUGACGAGGAAGCCACGGCUAACUACGUGCCAGCAGCCGCGGUAAUACGUAGGCGGCAAGCGUUGUCCGGAAUUAUUGGGCGUAAAGGGAGCGCAGGUGGGACGGUAAGUCCGUCUUAAAAGGCAGGGGCUCAGCCCCUGUAAGGGAUGGAAACUAUCGAUCUUGAGUGCCGGAGAGGAAAGCGGAAUUCCCAGUGUAGCGGUGAAAUGCGUAGAUAUUGGGAAGAACACCAGUGGCGAAGGCGGCUUUCUGGACUGCAACUGACGCUGAGGCUCGAAAGCCAGGGGAGCGAACGGGAUUAGAUACCCCGGUAGUCCUGGCCGUAAACG
rnacentral:rRNA from 1 species